GACGAACGCUGGCGGCGUGCUUAACACAUGCAAGUCGAACGGAAAGGCCCUACUUUUGUGGUGUGCUCGAGUGGCGAACGGGUGAGUAACACGUGAGUAACCUGCCCUUGACUUUGGGAUAACUUCAGGAAACUGGGGCUAAUACCGGAUAGGAGCUCCUGCUGCAUGGUGAGGGUUGGAAAGUUUCGGCGGUUGGGGAUGGACUCGCGGCUUAUCAGCUUGUUGGUGGGGUAGGGGCUUACCAAGGCUUUGACGGGUAGCCGGCCUGAGAGGGUGACCGGCCACAUUGGGACUGAGAUACGGCCCAGACUCCUACGGGAGGCAGCAGUGGGGAAUAUUGCACAAUGGGCGGAAGCCUGAUGCAGCAACGCCGCGUGCGGGAUGACGGCCUUCGGGUUGUAAACCGCUUUCGCCUGUGACGAAGCGUGAGUGACGGUAAUGGGUAAAGAAGCACCGGCUAACUACGUG
rnacentral:rRNA from 1 species